CAGGCCUAACACAUGCAAGUCGAGCGGUAACACAGGGAGCUUGCUCCCGGGUGACGAGCGGCGGACGGGUGAGUAAUGUCUGGGAAACUGCCUGAUGGAGGGGGAUAACUACUGGAAACGGUAGCUAAUACCGCAUAAUGUCGCAAGACCAAAGAGGGGGACCUUCGGCCUCUUGCCAUCAGAUGUGCCCAGAUGGGAUUAGCUAGUAGGUGGGGUAAUGGCUCACCUAGGCGACGAUCCCUAGCUGGUCUGAGAGGAUGACCAGCCACACUGGAACUGAGACACGGUCCAGACUCCUACGGGAGGCAGCAGUGGGGAAUAUUGCACAAUGGGCGCAAGCCUGAUGCAGCCAUGCCGCGUGUAUGAAGAAGGCCUUCGGGUUGUAAAGUACUUUCAGCGGGGAGGAAGGUGUUGAGGUUAAUAACCUCAGCAAUUGACGUUACCCGCAGAAGAAGCACCGGCUAACUCCGUGCCAGCAGCCGCGGUAAU
rnacentral:rRNA from 1 species